UAAAUAAAUAGUUCUACUGCAAAAUCCUAGAUGAACUAUCCUUUCCAGGUCAUAACCCUCAACAUGCAAAUGACCCAAUGUUUUGACUAAUGCAGACAGACUCAAACUGCAGAAUGCAUGGACCCCACACCAUUCCCGCCCACUAACUAAGUCCAAAUUUCAGACACGAGCAAACCACAAAUGGGGCGAGAAUUGGGGUAGACCUCAUCAUAUUGCCAAAGUAUGGAACCAACAUUCUCAGGUUGAGGAAGGAGGCUCCUUAACUUUAUUCUCUGCAUCAGCCUUAGUUGCUGCCUCCUCAGCUUCAGCUGGCACCUCUUCUUCAGUUGUCUCCUCAGUUUUCUUUUCUUCAACGCUCAACUUAUUAAAGGCAUCAGCAGCAGCAGUUGCAUCUUUAUUUUCCUCCUUUGUUUUUUGGAAUUCAGCUACUUCUUGAAACAUUUCCCUGAAUGUCUUGCAAUUCUCAACUGAUGCAAAACGGAUGCAAAAAAGUUCAUUCUUUAAUUCACCAUCAGCGAAAUCAGAGGCGUGCCACACACAGGACUUGUCAUUUCCAGCGUGCUCCUGAACUGACAUCGUUGGAAGUAUGAAGUGAUUGGCGCAGAUCUUGAGAGUCUUAGA
rnacentral:misc_RNA from 1 species